CAUGCAUGAAAAAGGGCAUUCAUUCUCGGGACAAGAAUAUAAUUUUGCCUCUUUAUAAAUCACUGGUAAGACCCCAUAUUGAAUAUGCUGUGCAAUUUUGGCCACCUGUUCUAAAGAAGGAUAUUAUGGCACUAGAAAAAGUGCAGAGGCGGGCUACAAAAUUAAUAAAAGGAAUGGACCAUAUCGGCUAUGAAGAAAGGUUAACAAAUUUAAACCUAUUUAGUUUAGAAAAAUGUCGCCUGAGAGGGGAUAUGAUAACAUUAUACAAAUAUAUUCAGGGCCAAUACAAACCAUUGUGUGGAAAUCUAUUCACAAACCGGACUUUACAUAGGACACGAG